GAGAAAGGGGCCUAAGGAGAACCAUUGAUCAGGUCCCUCUUGCAAUCCAGCUGGAGGGUCUGAGUGGGAGGGAGGGGCCCAGCCUUGAGCAGGUCAUCAAUUUGGAGAGGGAAGUCUCACGACACCCAGUGAUGGGGGCCCCCACCAAAGCCAGGGGCAAAGCUUUUCUUUUGGUGCCUCUGAUUCCAGACUGGAAUGAUCUCCCUUCCAUCAGCUUGAGUUCCCCUGGCUUCCCACUGCAUCCGCUCCAGAAGGGGUGGGGCAUAGAGGGGAGGAAAGUUCCUCAGAGCCACACAGGACAUCCGCCAGGUGGGAAAAGGCCUCCCCCACCUCUCCUUGCUCAUUUUAAUCUCACUGUUGUCCCCAUACCCUUUUGGACUAUGGGAUUCUGGCUGCAAGAAAAUCAGAUUUCAAUAUGUUAGAACUUUUACAGAUCACUGUCAGCUGGGACUUAAGCCCUGUAUAAACCAAACAUACAAAGCGGAAAUUAAUUUAAACGAUUCCCUUGCAAUUCUUGCCCAUGAAAUGUAUUUAUUAUUAAGAAAGCAAUAUUCUUUCUUGACUUUUCUGGUUUUCAAGACACGGUGUUUUGUUUUCGUUGUUUUGGUGGUUUGAUAACUCACUCCUUGCCGAAGGAGACGCAUGUCUAGACAUUUUUGUCUAAGCGUUUGGUUGCAGUGAACAAGCAACCCACCUGUGACAUUCAUCAUCUCCUUUCCUUUGGAAUUUGCAUGUUCUCACAGGCAGGUUCAUUACUUUGACUCAUGUGAUGAGCCAAAUGGAGGGAGAUAUCAAUGGCUGAGGGGUGUUUCUCUCGUCCCUUUGAAAUAAGAGGUUUCCAUCUGCUGUUUCCCCACUCUGUUCCUCUCUAGACUUUGCAAUGACUUGCCCUCUUCACCUGUCUUAUUCUCUGUCCACUACUUUCUCUUGGACUUGAAAAGACCGUGGUUGGUUUUCACCAUCACUUCUCCCUCGAUUGCCUGCCUGUCUGCCUGGACUGGGCUUCAGCAUCUCUGAACCCCACACUCAGAGGUGAGAAUUUCCCAAACACCAACUGUGUUUCCUCUGUGAACCUACAAAAGAAGAGGAAGGCCCAGGCCCGCUUUCCCCUGAAGCCUCCUAACACCUCUCUGGCCUACCCACAACUGCCCCAGAACCAUCCAAUAAGCAAAAUGAAGUUAAGAUGAAAGAAACGCUGCCAUUUCUACAUCAAGGCUCACUCAUUUGAAUCAGAGGAACCCUGGGGCCCUCACUCCAGAACCUGGUUACUCCAUUUUUAGAUACUCCUUUAACCACUGUGGCAAUCCCAUGCCCCUGGUCUCCUUGGAUGAGAAGCGUAGUCCCCGGAUGGUG
rnacentral:lncRNA from 1 species